rnacentral:lncRNA from 1 species
GCUCGUGAAAAGGCCUUUGCUAUUAAAGGAGAAUGAGCUUUCUCUAUCUCCGCAACUCUAAUUGUAACAUGAUCUGGGGAAGCUGUUCAGUAAGGAAAGAUCGUAUCCGCGUAGAGCAGCUAGGGCUAGAGCAGCAAUCUUAUUACUUCCGGCUGACUGAAAGGGAGAAUAAGACUCUUUAUUUGCCUUAGUUUGCGAAAGACCCCCGAAAAUACAAAGAAGAGUAAGAAUACAGUUUCUAACAAGUAUAAAUCUCCAGAUUCAGCGA